rnacentral:rRNA from 1 species
AACGAACGCUGGCGGCGUGGAUAAGACAUGCAAGUCGGACGAGAUUUUUUCUUGUAGCAAUACGAGGAAAAGUCUAGUGGCGAACGGGUGCUUAACACGUGGGCAACCUGCCGAGAAGUGGGGGAUAGCUCGCCGAAAGGCGAAUUAAUACCGCAUGUGAUCAGAGUGGACAUCCAUUCGAAAUCAAAGUCGGGGCAACCUGACGCUUCUUGAGGGGCCCGCGGCCUAUCAGCUAGUUGGUGGGGUAAUGGCCCACCAAGGCUUUGACGGGUAGCUGGUCUGAGAGGACGACCAGCCACACUGGGACUGAGACACGGCCCAGACACCUACGGGUGGCAGCAGUCGAGAAUUUUUCUCAAUGGGGGAAACCCUGAAGGAGCGACGCCGCGUGGAGGAUGAAGGUCUUCGGAUUGUAAACUCCUGUCAUUGGGGAACAAUGCGUAAGUAUUAACUGUAUUUACGUUGAUAGUACCCGAAGAGGAAGAGACGGCUAACUCUGUGCCAGCAGCCGCCGUAACAC